rnacentral:rRNA from 1 species
AGAUUGAACGCUGGCGGCAUGCCUUACACAUGCAAGUCGAACGGUAGAGUAGCAAUACUCGAGAGUGGCGAACGGGUGAGUAAUAUAUCGGAACGUGCCCAGUCGUGGGGGAUAACGUAGAGAAAUUUACGCUAAUACCGCAUACGAUCUACGGAUGAAAGCGGGGGAUUCGCAAGAACCUCGCGCGAUUGGAGCGGCUGAUAUCAGAUUAGGUUGUUGGUGAGUAAAAGCUCGACCAAGCCGACGAUCUGUAGCUGGUUUGAGAGAACGACCAGCCACACGUGGGACUGAGACACGGCCCAGACUCCUACGGGAGGCAGCAGGUGGGAAUUUGGAC